GACGAACGCUGGCGGCGUGCCUAAUACAUGCAAGUUGAGCGCUGAAGGUUGGUACUUGUACCAACUGGAUGAGCAGCGAACGGGUGAGUAACGCGUGGGGAAUCUGCCUUUGAGCGGGGGACAACAUUUGGAAACGAAUGCUAAUACCGCAUAAAAACUUUAAACACAAGUUUUAAGUUUGAAAGAUGCAAUUGCAUCACUCAAAGAUGAUCCCGCGUUGUAUUAGCUAGUUGGUGAGGUAAAGGCUCACCAAGGCGAUGAUACAUAGCCGACCUGAGAGGGUGAUCGGCCACAUUGGGACUGAGACACGGCCCAAACUCCUACGGGUGGCAGCAGUAGGGAAUCUUCGGCAAUGGACGAAAGUCUGACUGAGCAACGCCGCGUGAGUGAAGAAGGUUUUCGGAUCGUAAAACUCUGUUGGUAGAGAAGAACGUUGGUGAGAGUGGAAAGCUCAUCAAGUGACGGUAACUACCCAGAAAGGGACGGCUAACUACGUG
rnacentral:rRNA from 1 species